GAGAUGCAGCCACAAAGCUAACCUCCGAAACCCCAUGGCCUCUAACCGCCUCGGUGCAGGGAGAGAUGGACUUGAGGGCCAGCAGAAAUCUGGACUACGUAAUCCAUCUUGGUUAGAGUUGUUUGGUAGCUUUGUCUGGGAUACAAACCCAGCUAAAGGUUGGCUUACCCUGUUCAGUGAAUUGAACCUGACAUGAUCCGAACUCUUGUGUUGGAGAGAAGCAAAGGAGGAGUAAAAGGAGCUGUGAACAAUUCCAGAGCAAUUCCACAGCUUAGACGUUUCCUCUCCCUGCCCUUCUCCAAAGCUGGACGCAACGGUCUGAGAAUUCAGUUGGAAACUGUUGGAAGAAAUGUCCAUCUGGGUUCAGUUCCAAGUGGGGAGAAAGAUCCUGGAAACCUGGAGACUGCUGGAAAAGAUGGUUUAAUGGUGGACAGCAGGACCACGUGGUUUUGAGGUCGUGGGCAA